CACGAACGACUCUCGGCAACGGAUAUCUCGGCUCUCGCAUCGAUGAAGAACGUAGCGAAAUGCGAUACUUGGUGUGAAUUGCAGAAUCCCGUGAACCAUCGAGUCUUUGAACGCAAGUUGCGCCCCAAGCCGUCAGGCYGAGGGCACGUCUGCCUGGGUGUCACGCAU
rnacentral:rRNA from 1 species